GAGAGAAAGAAUGGUGAAGCUGAAGGUCUACGCCGAUCGACUGUCGCAGCCAUCGCGAGCGAUCCUCAUUUUUUGCAGAAUGAAUGGGAUUGAUUUUGAGGAGGUGAGGGUGGAUCUCUCCAAGGGGCAACAUCGAAAUCCUCAAUUCCAAG